AGGCCUGUAGUUUCAAUGGUAAAACAUCGGUCUCCAAAACCGAGGUUCUCGGUUCGAAUCCGAGCGGGCCUGCAA
rnacentral:tRNA from 1 species